CCUACGGGAGGCAGCAGUGGGGAAUAUUGCACAAUGGGGGAAACCCUGAUGCAGCGACGCCGCGUGAGCGAAGAAGUAUUUCGGUAUGUAAAGCUCUAUCAGCAGGGAAGAAAAUGACGGUACCUGAGUAAGAAGCUCCGGCUAAAUACGUGCCAGCAGCCGCGGUAAUACGUAUGGAGCAAGCGUUAUCCGGAUUUAUUGGGUUUAAAGGGUGCGUAGGCGGACAGUCAAGUCAGCGGUAAAAAUGCGGUGCUCAACGCCGUACAGCCGUUGAAACUGGCAGUCUUGAGUGGGCGAGAAGUAUGCGGAAUGCGUGGUGUAGCGGUGAAAUGCAUAGAUAUCACGCAGAACUCCGAUUGCGAAGGCAGCAUACCGGCGCCCGACUGACGCUGAGGCACGAAAGCGUGGGUAUCGAACAGGAUUAGAUACCCCAGUAGUC
rnacentral:rRNA from 1 species